rnacentral:rRNA from 1 species
ACGAACGCUGGCGGCAUGCCUAAUACAUGCAAGUCGAACGCGACUGAGAAGUGAGAAAUGGGAAGUAUGAGAGAAUUGCAGCGAACACUGAAAUUCCGGAAGUGGGAGGAAGUGCGCUUUCGUUCGCACAUCUAACUUCUCACCUCUCACUUCUCAGUUGAGUGGCGGACGGGUGAGUAACGCGUGGGCAACCUGCCCCAAAGCUCGGGAUAACACUCCGAAAGGCGUGCUAAUACCGGAUGUAGUUGCGGUGCUGCAUGGCACGGCAAAAAAGGAGAAAUCCACUUUGGGAUGGGCCCGCGUCUGAUUAGCUGGUUGGUGGGGUGACGGCCUACCAAGGCGACGAUCAGUAGCCG